AUGGAUUUUUUUCAUACUUGGAUACUCUGUUCGUAACUUAGUACAGUAAUGCAUGUCCUACCAACGUAACGACAUUGUUUGUAAAUAGAAAAAUGAUGCCCAAGUGCAAAAAAUAAAUUCAUUCAACCAAAUCUCAUUAUCUCUAAAAUGUACACGUACUUUAGGAAAUUUCAUAAUCAUGAAAUUUUCAAUUGUCAUUUUCCAUUAUCGAUUUGCUUUUGCACGAGGAGUUAACAAACAAGCGAGAAAUAAGAUACGACGAACCUAUUAUCAACUGGAAAUGAUUAUCGAUUAUAAGAAUGAAGAUAAUAAAUGGUAUUUCGGAUAAAUAAUAAAAAACAAAGCAAUGCUAAACAAAUAGAAAUUAUACGGUUUAAGAAACUAUCUUCCAAGGUCACCUUUCACAGAAAAGUUUCAAUAAUAUAUGUCAUCUAUAGAUGAAUACUUACAAUUUCAAGGUUCUUAUACCUACAACUUCAAGAAACUAAUUCCAAUUGGACAUACCAGUUCGACAUGAAUAAUAUAGAAACAGAUGUGUACUUUCAAACUUAUUUGUUCAAUGGUACAGAAGUACACUAUCGACAACUUCUAAAAUAAAUCCAAGGAUAUAAUUGCUCAGCAUCGAUGAGUUUGAUAAGAAGUGGUCUUGUAAUGAAAUCAAUGAUCGUACGGAAUGUCAUACUAAGAUCAUUGUCCUGAUUAUUCAUAAGUGAGAUCUAAUAAUUCUAACAAUUAGGGGCGUGAUAAGAGAACAGAAAAAAAAAAUGUACAGACCAAAAAUAUACAUUUUCAAACUUGAAUUAAAAAAAGUAUAUUAUAUAAAAAAUAUCGUAUAGAAAUAAAAAAUAUUUUAUCUUCAAACGAUCGACAGUUCUUGUAUUGAUGUCAGAAUUGAAAAGUCAAAGAUUAAAAGGAUGAUCAAGCCGUCACCAGAAUACAUGAAAUAUAGAAUAUUGAACAUUGGUGUUUCAUUCAUUGAAAGUUUAUUAUCUGUUAAUUCAAUAACUAUUAUUGCUUCUAUUUGAUCUACCUCAACGACUAUGAUGAUAAUAAACGACUAACAAUUUACAUUGCUGCAGUAACAUCAUUAACACUUGAUCAGUUUAAUGCAAUCUUUACAAUGCUAAUUAUCUUCGUUAUCAUAAUAAACUGCAAUCAGUAUCAAUAUAAUCAUUACAUAGAGAAUAAGAAGGAGGAAAUCUAUGAAGUGUUCGAAAAUUGGCAUAAAAAUUUUUUCUAUGUAACUGGACUUCAACACCGAACGCAUCGUGAAGAGAAAACUUGCUAUGGCGGCAACAUCGGAGCAGCUGACCUGCAACCACCAUGAUUUAUGGCCGAACGAGCUAAACAGCCGAGUAGUAUCCUAUAGCUCUCAGGUACCCGAAAGCUCGGCCGUUCACGCUGCAUUUUGCCGGUAUAUUCUCUCGGCCUUUGCUCUUCCUUCAGCUUCACGUUUCAAAACUCGAUUUCGUUUGCGAGUACUGCAUACGUCAUUCUGAAAAUAUUUUGACGCGACAACGAAAAUUCAUACUUCGGCUGAUUAAUGAACACGAUUCGCUGCCUAUGAACUUUCUGAUAAUUUCUAAAUUUUUCGGCCUCUUUUUCUUUCGAUCAAAUCGAACUUUACAGAAAUUUGAUUUUAACGUUCCUCGUAUAUCGGUCCAUCGGUUGAUUUAUUUAUUGAACAACUUUUUUAGGUCAAAUAUUAAAAUAAUUUAUUCGAUUCAUUGAUAAAAUCAAAUAUCGAUUUGAUCGAUUCAAUUAAUUCAAAAUUCAAUUUUAAGAAAUAAAUUGUUUCAAAAUAAUCUUAAAACUGGUUUUUUUUUUAAUAUUUUUUUUUUUUUUUUGUACAUUACAACAGAUGUGGCAAGAUUGUACUUUAAAAUAUAUUAGAAUCCAAGUUGUAAUAUUUUUCGUCAGAGGAUAGAAAUUAUGAAUAAUUGAAGUUCUUGUAAUUAUGAUCGUCGGUUAUAGAUCAAAGACGAUGACGUAACUAUAACGACAAAGAAAGAAAUAGUCAAAGUGAGGGGAAGGAAGAGUGGCUGCGCAGCUGCGCUCUUCGCACAUAACAAGAUGGCCGAAAGCGUGCUUCGCGCGUGCACGAGCGUUCAUCCUUCGUUCUUCUUUUUUUUAAAUUUUUUGGUGUAUAUAUCGGUUAAAAAUUGUUUAUUAAACUUACUAUGAUUUAAUUUGUAUAUACCAAUUAUAUUAAAGUGAGUGGAUCCGUGAUUCGAAGUGUUGUGCGCAUUGUAAAAUCGAUAAACAUCAAAUUUAAUUAUUGUCUCUUAAAAUUUAUCUAAAAAAAAUAUUUUGAUGAUCAUCUAGUUAUAUUGUAAAAGAAAAAAAAAUCCUACUAAAGUGAAGAAAAACUUUGUACGUGCAAUGAGUGUACAAAAUGACAAUGUUGUAAUUUUUCGAAAAGUAUAUUUAUUAUUUAAAAUGAUUUUCAUAUUAAUUGUUUUUAUAUCUUAUAUAACCGACAAUAUCUAACUAUUUUCUUUUCCUUUAAAUAAUUUUUAUAUCUCACUUUUAUGUAUGAUUUAACUGAUACUUGUUAAAUAUUCAAACAAUGGUAUGUGAGAAAUUAAUAUAUAUAUAUAUACGUUGAUAUAUAUAUAUUUUUUUUUUUUUGAUAAAAAAAUAUUAUAACUUUUUACAAUGGGUUAAAGAAUUAUUUUUAAAAUUGAAAUUCAGGGAACAAUUGUCUAUAUAUAUCAUAAAUCAUGUACAUUUUGUACGUGGGUACGGUUAUUCAUGUAAGGGUUCUAAAGUGAAAGUUUCUUAGAUAAUACCGUCGGACCGAAAGGCUUUAGUGAAAUUUAUUUUAGAGUAUAUAGUAACCUUUUUCGACAUGAAAUAUAAAUAACUUUAAAGUACGAUUAUAUAUAUGAAUCGAUAAAAAAAAAUGCUAUUAAGACUAAUUUAUAGUUUUCGAAGUUCAAUCAAUAUUAAACGAUUAGAAAGUAAUUUAUUCAAAAAAAUUUAUUGACGGAUUUCAUUUUUUUUUUUUUUUAAAUCCUAAACUUCGUAAAUUAUUACUAACAUUAUUUAAACAUUAUUUACUGAUUUCGUAAAAUGUUUCUAUUUAAUAUUAGCAUGGUAAAUAAAUAUUAAUUACAAGAAGAGAAUAAUUAUAAAUAGAAAGUAUAAGUUUUGAAAGAGAUAAUUUGGCAGGUAUAAAGUCCUGCAGGUGCAUAAUAUAAUGGAAAUACCUGCAAAUAAAUGUCAUUGUAUUUGAGAUGAAGAUCAUUUGAAAAAUUCGUUGUUUUUUUUUUUUUUAUUUUAAUUUAAAAUAAAUUAAGUUCUUAAAAUUAAAAAUUAAAUAAUUAAGUUCGUGUUAAUUUAAUAAUUAAAUUCUUAAACGGAUAAUAAAAUGAAAAUAGAAGUCGAGUAACAAUAAAAGCCAAGUAACAAAAAAAGUUAAGUAACAAUAAAAGCAAAGGGGAAAAACAAAUUUUUCGAAUGAUCCACAUAUUUCACAUAUACAACGAUUAUAAACUAAUUUUCUAUGUGAAAAUAUCAAUGAAGUACUAGUCUACUAGAAUAGUUAUUUUAGAAUAAUAAAACAUUAUACAUUAUUUUCAUCAAAAUAAAUCAUAUAGAACAAAUUGA